rnacentral:rRNA from 1 species
UACGUAGGUGGCGAGCGUUAUCCGGAAUUAUUGGGCGUAAAGCGCGCGCAGGCGGUUUCUUAAGUCUGAUGUGAAAAGCCCACGGCUCAACCGUGGAGGGUCAUUGGAAACUGGGAGACUUGAGUGCAGAAGAGAAGAGUGGAAUUCCACGUGUAGCGGUGAAAUGCGUAGAGAUGUGGAGGAACACCAGUGGGCGAAGGCGACUCUUUGGUCUGUAACUGACGCUGAGG